rnacentral:rRNA from 1 species
AUUGAACGCUGGCGGCAGGCCUAACACAUGCAAGUCGAACGAGUGGCGGACGGGUGAGUAAUGUCUGGGAAACUGCCCGAUGGAGGGGGAUAACUACUGGAAACGGUAGCUAAUACCGCAUACCAUCGGAUGUGCCCAGAUGGGAUUAGCUAGUAGGUGGUGUAAUGGCUCACCAAGUCGACGAUCCGUAACUGGUCUGAGAGGAUGAGCAGUAAAACUGGAACUGAGACACGGUCCGGACUCCUACGGGAGGCAGCAGUGGGGAAUAUUGGACAAUGGGCGAAAGCCUGAUCCAGCCAUGCCGCGUGGGUGAAGAAGGUCUUCGGAUUGUAAAGCACUUUAAGUUGGGAGGCGUUACCAACAGAAUAAGCACCGGCUAACUUCGUGCCAGCAGCCGCGGUAAUAC